UCCGAUAUGGUGUAACGGCUAACAUUACCGCCUUUCACCGCUUGUGAGCGCGGUAGCUCGGGGUUCGAUUCCCCGUAUCGGAA